UACGUAGGUGGCAAGCGUUGUCCGGAUUUACUGGGCGUAAAGAGCGCGCAGGCGGUCGUAUAAGUCGAAUGUGCAAGCCCCCGGCUCAACUGGGGAGGGUCAUUCGAUACUGUUCGACUCGAAGGCAGGAGAGGGAAGCGGAAUUCCCGGUGCAGUGGUGAAAUGCGUAGAUAUCAGGAGGAACACCAGUGGCGAAGGCGGCUUUCUGGCCUGUUCUUGACGCUGAGGCGCGAAAGCUAGGGGAGCAAACGGG
rnacentral:rRNA from 1 species